GGUAUAAUUCCAAGAAGUGAAUGAGGACCAAUUUGCUUUGACUGUAGUCAUGUCGCCAAGAUUGAUCAGUGCAAAACAGUGCGACCAUGUUAUAAAGGCGAGUUAUGCAAUAUUGAAGAAUUUGAUUGGCUGGGAGAAUCCCAUUUCAAACUUGGCUGCGUGACUGCAACGUGUAGUGCCAUUGAACAUGGUCGUUCUGUUCCAAGAUGCAAGUCCUGCUGCAACGAUGAUUUCUGUAACACCAACUGCACGAUGGGACAUUCGGCUGCAAUCAUAGGUUAAGACAUGGAGGUAAAGUUUACAUUUAAAAUACACAUGCUUACACAUUUGCCGUUAAUGAUUCGA